rnacentral:misc_RNA from 1 species
GUGCACAUGGCGUCACAUGCUUUCUUUGCUUUGUUCACUCCCAUGUGCACUGGGGGAAUGAAGACAGCAAGUAAAUGCCCUGAUAUGACUACGCCCUGUUACUGGUGCUCUUGUUUCGGCUUGUCAUUCAAUCUCUCUUCCAGGCCUUCUCUUCUUGAUAGCCAUUUUUCAAAUCAGACAUCUUAGCCUGCUACUUCAUUCCAUGUUAUAUUGCUGUAGAAUUUUAAGUCCCAA